ACGGUUGGCAUGCUAUCCCAACUCAGUAUAUUGUGAUCCUCGGAGCUGCAUGGCCCGAGUGGUUUGGUUGCUUGCCUGUCCCUUUGUUGCUUGCGUCGCGUACCCGUCCGUCCCCCUUCCCUUCGAAGGAAUGGAAAGAAGGAAAGGAAGGGGGAAGGAUCGACCCGACAUCGUCCCUCGUCCGUCCGGCGCCUCGCAAGGGGCUUUUCGGAGGACAAAGAAGCGGCUCCUGCGAUCCACUCGCGUUGGCUCGUCCGACGAGUUUGGCCCACAAGAUGACUCCGUUGCUCUCUCGGAUGCGGUGCAUGCCGAGGACUCCCGGGGGCCCCGUUCCCCGCACGUCCCGAACGAAUGAUUCGACUCGAUUCUCCCGAGAGACGCACGCGUCCGACCCCUUUUGGGGGCCGGUGGCGAGUCGUCGCGGAGGGUUGCUACCUGGUUGAU
rnacentral:misc_RNA from 1 species